AUUGAACGCUGGCGGCAUGCCUUACACAUGCAAGCCGAACGGCAGCACGGGAGCAAUCCUGGUGGCGAGUGGCGAACGGGUGAGUAAUACAUCGGAACGUGCCCAGUUGUGGGGGAUAGCCCGGCGAAAGCCGGAUUAAUACCGCAUACGACCUACGGGUGAAAGCGGGGGAUCGCAAGACCUCGCGCUAUUGGAGCGGCCGAUGUCGGAUUAGCUAGUUGGUGGGGUAAAAGCCUACCAAGGCUACGAUCCGUAGCUGGUCUGAGAGGACGACCAGCCACACUGGGACUGAGACACGGCCCAGACUCCUACGGGAGGCAGCAGUGGGGAAUUUUGGACAAUGGGCGCAAGCCUGAUCCAGCCAUGCCGCGUGCGGGAGGAAGGCCUUCGGGUUGUAAACCGCUUUUGUCAGGGAAGAAACGGUUUGGGCUAAUACCCCGAACUAAUGACGGUACCUGAAGAAUAAGCACCGGCUAACUACGUGCCAGCCGCCGCCGUAACAC
rnacentral:rRNA from 1 species